GGGGUUCAUUAUUUGUGAGAGGAAAUGGCUGAUAGCCGCCAGCAACCAUCUGUCAUGCAAAAGAUGGCAAGCCAGGUCCAUCACAGUUCUAGCUUUUCCCAAGGCUUUCAGAGACCUGCUUUACACCAAAGGCAGUUUGCAUAUGGAAAUUAUUCCAAUGCAGGAUUCCAGUAUGCGAUGACAAGGGCAUGCCAAUCCACCCCUGAUAUGUCAUUGAUUGCAUCAUCUACCUCACCAGUAUUCGUCCAGGCCCCAUCAGAGAAAGGCUUGGCUGGCUUUGCUAUUGAUUUUCUUAUGGGUGGAGUUUCUGCAGCUGUGUCCAAAACUGCUGCUGCUCCCAUUGAGCGUGUGAAGCUCUUGAUCCAAAACCAGGAUGAGAUGAUCAAGACUGGUCGACUCUCUGAACCAUACAAGGGAAUUGGAGAUUGUUUCAGCAGAACAAUGAAAGAUGAGGGGAUGGUGUCAUUGUGGAGAGGAAACACUGUCAAUGUCAUCCGUUACUUCCCCACUCAGGUUUGUUCCCUCUUGGAUGCUUUACUAACCUAUUUCAUUCCUUUUGAGUUUUAUUUAUGUGCUUAUCUAGUAAUUCUAUGAACCCUCCGCCAGGCCCUGAACUUUGCAUUCAAAGAUUACUUUAAGAGGCUUUUCAACUUCAAGAAGGACCGUGAUGGCUAUUGGAAGUGGUUUGCUGGUAAUUUGGCAUCUGGUGCUGCUGCUGGUUCCUCAUCACUACUCUUUGUCUAUUCUUUGGAUUAUGCCCGAACCCGUCUUACAAAUGAUUCCAAGGCUGCAAAGAAGGGAGGGGAGAGGCAAUUCAAUGGCUUGGUUGAUGUCUACAAGAAGACUAUGCAAUCAGAUGGUAUUGCUGGGCUUUACCGUGGAUUUAACAUUUCAUGCGUUGGUAUUAUUGUGUACCGUGGUCUGUAUUUUGGAAUGUAUGAUUCUUUGAAGCCAGUGGUCCUAACUGGAAAGAUGCAGGUUAGUAAAUUCUGCUAUAAAUUGUUUAACAGUUUGGAUCUCAUUUGUCGGUGAAUUCUCAUGUAGUUUCAUUUAUCACACGAUGAUUUCAGGAUAGCUUCUUUGCUAGCUUUGCUCUUGGUUGGGUCAUCACCAACGGUGCUGGACUUGCAUCCUAUCCAAUUGACACUGUCCGCAGAAGAAUGAUGAUGACAUCCGGUGAAGCUGUCAAGUACAAGAGCUCCUUUGAUGCAUUCUCUCAGAUCCUCAAGAACGAGGGUGCUAAAUCCCUCUUCAAGGGUGCUGGUGCAAACAUCCUCCGUGCUGUUGCUGGUGCCGGUGUGCUUGCCGGAUAUGACAAGCUUCAGAUGAUUGUGUUUGGGAAGAAGUUUGGUUCUGGUGGGGCCUAAUUAAGUCUCAUUCUCAUUCUCCCCAUACAAUCAUAGAUGGUGAUGAAAUUUUUGGCGUUCCAUUCCAUAAUUUAUCCUGGAUAAUUCUUUAGGCUCAUUUAAUGACCUUUUUUCUCAAGGUGUUUUCCCGGUUUCAGGAUUUUCAUUCCUGCAACCCUGUCUUUUCUGAAUGGUUUCAAUUGCAAAACAUUGAUUUUUAUCUCAUCAAAAUUAUAGAUGAUCGUUCUAGUUUUGUCAUUCUUCCGGGUUCUUUUACCCCCGAGUGUUACCUUUUCUUCUGGUUUCGAAGUAUGUGUUUAUUUUUGUGUUAUUAUUUAUUUUGGAUGAUUUUAAUGUAUUGAUGUUAAAAAUAAAAAAAUAUAAAAAAGUAUUAUUUUAAUUAAAAAAUAUUAUUGAAAAGUAGAUGGAUGGAAAUACUAAACAAGCUGUGUGUUUUAAACUUUUAAUGGUUGAUUUAAAAAUAUUUAGUUAAUCAAUACAUUAAUUUUAUAUUAGUGAUAUUAAAAACUCUUAAAAUAUUAAUAAAAAAAUUAUAAAUUAUAAUUUUUUUAAACCUCCUUUUUUAAAUUAUGUCCGCAAAAAUUAAUAGCAAGAUAAUUAAAGGAAGUUGAAUAUUUUCUUAUCUAAGCAAAUUAAUAAUUUGAUUUUCAACAUAUAAAAAUAAAAUAAAAUAUUUAAAUAUUAAAAAUGAAGGAUUUUUAUUUUCCAAUUUAGAUCAACUUGGAUUUAAAUAAAGUAUUGUAUAAUCUAAUUCAAAAUUAAGGACUGGUUUGUAAUCAUAUUAAGAGCUCAGGGACUAAAAAUAACCCACUCAAACUAAGAAAUUGCCAUUCCAUGGACUCACUCCCCACCCUACCAUGUCUCUCCCUCCACAUAUAAAUAUGCGUAUUGCCUCUCCUCACCACCUUGCCGUUCCAAACCGUCAAGACUCCUCCUUUCUCUCUUCAUCACCAACAAAAUCAAAAGGUAAUGCCUUUCUCUCUUCCUCUCUCUAAAGCUGUUUCCUUUCCUUUCGUUUCAUUUGACACGCCGCAUGACUCGUUCAAUUGUGAUUUUCAUGUAUUUUUGAGUUUAGUUCAUUGUCUUUUGUUCCUUGUUUUUUGGACUUGUCUAUGUUUUCUUUAUCUAGCAUUAACAUCUUCAUGUUUAUAUAAAACCCACUUCACUUCUCUCUUAGAUCUCUCCCUCCCUCCCUUCUUUUGCUGGUUCUUGGCAUCUUUGUUAGAUCUGUUGCUCAGAUUUUAUUUUUCUCAUAGAUUUUUAAACUAACAGGUUUGUUUUUAUAUCAAUAUUUCUCUUUUCUUUAUUGGUUUCAUUGGAUCUUAAAGUUUUGAUUUUUUUUUGUUUUUAAUCUAUAAUGAGGCGAGUUGUUGAUAUAAUAUAUACGAACUGGGCUGUUUUUUUGGCAUGUGAUUAUUGUUUUAUGUCAUUUUGAUCAGACUAUUGCUAUUUGUUCUGAAAUAUUUGUCCCUAAUGAGAUAAUCCUAACCACCAGAUGGUAAGUUGAGUGUCCAUCCCAUCAAUGAUUGUUGUGAUUCGGGAAAUUGAUUCAGUAAAUUCAUCUUGGACAGAGUAGAAAGAUUAUGUUUGAUUAGUGUAGAUAAGACAGAUUUGUUUUUUUCCUUAGAUUUCGGAAUAAAUGAUGAAUGUUUGUGUAUUACUUGGUUUGGAAUGGACAAUUUGAUUGUUAGAAUAUGACGCGAUCGUUAAUGGUGUUUUUUAUUUGAUUUUGGAGAUUUGGUUUUGCUCUUAAAACCUGAUUUGAUUGCUGCGCAAGUGGUAUGUCUUGAAUCAGAGUGAUGCAUGCAUUCUAAGCUAUUGUGGGGGGUCGGUUUUCUGACUGAAAUUGUUUGUAAAGAACAACUGUGGUUAAUGUGCUUUUGCUUUGUUGAAACUUUAUUGGGGUUACUGCAGAAGGAGUGUCGCAGCAAUUUUUUAUGGAGCUUGAGUGCUUCAGUUUUCUGAUGCUCUUUUUGGUGUUGCGUUUCCUUGUAAAUAAUAAGUCCAUCGUUCGGUUACCUUUUUUCUUUUUGUUAAAUUGAUUAUCCAUUUAUCCACUUGAAGUUUUUGAAAAGCUGGUUGACUGUUCUUGGCAGUUUGUUAGAUUUGUACAUGCUGAUAAAGGUGGUAUUUUAUAAUUUGGUAGAUUUUUGUUGGGAAUAAGCAUAACCAUAUCCCUAUGUGCUGCAUGCUCGUCUGUCUACAUUAGUUAUGUAAGCACAGUUUUGUCAGUUCAAAUGGUUUGCAAAUUCCGUGCUUAAAGAACCCUGUUAUAAGGUAUAAUGUUAUUAUAUAUAUUUAUGAAUUAUAAGGUGCAUUGCUAUCAAUACUGCUUGAGGAAAUAUAAUUAUUGGUUUGUUAAAUUCUUAGAAUUCAGAAAAAUCGUAUGGAAUUAUAUGCUUAAUGGUACCUUUGAUAUGGUUUUGUUGUACCUUAAUAUUGUUUGUUGGAUUUAAUUGGAACAGGGGUUCAUUAUUUGUGAGAGGAAAUGGCUGAUAGCCGCCAGCAACCAUCUGUCAUGCAAAAGAUGGCAAGCCAGGUCCAUCACAGUUCUAGCUUUUCCCAAGGCUUUCAGAGACCUGCUUUACACCAAAGGCAGUUUGCAUAUGGAAAUUAUUCCAAUGCAGGAUUCCAGUAUGCGAUGACAAGGGCAUGCCAAUCCACCCUUGAUAUGUCAUUGAUUGCAUCUUCUACCUCACCAGUAUUUGUCCAAGCCCCAUCAGAGAAAGGCUUGGCUGGCUUUGCUAUUGAUUUUCUUAUGGGUGGAGUUUCUGCAGCUGUGUCCAAAACUGCCGCCGCUCCUAUUGAGCGUGUGAAGCUCUUGAUCCAAAACCAGGAUGAG
rnacentral:lncRNA from 1 species